UACGGAGGGUGCGAGCGUUGUUCGGAAUUACUGGGCGUAAAGCGCGUGUAGGCGGCCUUUUAAGUCUGUUGUGAAAGCCCGGGGCUCACCCCCGGAAGUGCAUCGGAUACUGAAGGGCUGGAGUACCGGAGAGGAGGGUGGAAUUCCUGGUGUAGCGGUGAAAUGCGUAGAUAUCAGGAGGAACACCGGUGGCGAAGGCGGCCCUCUGGACGGAUACUGACGCUGAGACGCGAAAGCGUGGGGAGCAAACAGG
rnacentral:rRNA from 1 species